UACGAGGGGUGCAAGCGUUGCUCGGAAUUAUUGGGCGUAAAGGGUAGGUAGGUGGUCUCAUUUGUCAGGGGUGAAAGCCUUGGGCUUAACCCAAGAAGUGCCCCUGAAACGGUGAGACUAGAGUGCUGGAGAGGGUCGUGGAAUUCCCGGUGUAGCGGUGAAAUGCGUAGAUAUCUGGAGGAACACCGGUGGCGAAGGCGACAUCCUGGACCGGUAUUGACGCUGAGGCGCGAAAGCCAGGGGAGCAAACGGGG
rnacentral:rRNA from 1 species